ensembl:processed_transcript
CUGGUUUGGGUGUCUGUAGCCGCGGCUACAGUGCAUCGUGUGGCGGUGGCUUUUCCCUUGGCUGUGGUGGCUGGAUGACUGUUCAAUUGCAGCUAUUAAUUCCGGCACCUCGCUGUAUUGUAUCGACCAACGAGUGAUUAGAACGUGUCUGAGUGUGCGCCCAUUGGAUCCUCCCUUUCCCCUUUCUUUCUACCCUUUUCUCUUUUACGUCGGAUCUUCCUCUGGUAUCAUUUGCCAACUAGCUCCCGUGUUCAUCGCUAUUGCCGUGGUUACCGGAGACCGUCUGCAACUGCUGCUAAUGCUAAUGCCGGCGUAUUGGCUGCCGCUUGGACACCACCAAUGCAGCUGCUAGCGGGGACUGCCUGCAAUAAUUCUUAGCGUGCUGCUUUGUGCUCCCCUUCAUUCUUUCAUUUGUUUAUUUGUGUUGGAUAAUUGAUUUGUCAACAUUAGCAGUCUUCUGUUUUUUGUUGUGUCUUUAUUUAUGCAAAGUAUUGAUUUGUUUUUCGUUAUUAAGAGUAUUCUUUUGUGAGUUUAGUCUUAUUUCUAGUAACAGUUAAUGUUGGGUCUAGUGUAGGUCAGAUGGUGUAAAUACAGCUGUAGCUAUCUUUCAAUUAGAUCAUGUAAAGUAGGUGUUAACCUGAUUGACCCACUUAUUUGUGUUUUGUUGGUUAUUGAUUUUUAUUUUUAUUUAUUUCAGGAACUGAGGUUUCCCCCGGUGGAUGACGGGUCACUUUCCACUGGUGGUGGUGUUUCUCUAUCGUGUGCUGUGGACACUGAGUGCGUGAUAGCGUGAUUUUUGAGUGCACUGUGGUGUGUGCGUGUGCUGGGGUAAAGUCUGUCCACUCGUACCCAGUCAGUGGGAACCUCCAAUCCUGGUUUGGUUUUGUUUAUUUAUUGUUUCUUGUGUUUAAUAAUGAAGUGGGAGUUUUUGAUGUAUUUUUAAAGAACCGUACCAUUUGAUAGUUUUAUUCCAAAUAAAUAUUUUUGUACUUUUUCAUUA